AUGGCAUCUGGCCUCGGAUGGGACCAGGCGCUGCAGGAGAUCUUCGACGAUAACAAUACCAAGCUCUCAUACGCGCGCGAGGUGGGUACCUGGUACACCAACGUUGCAAUCUUCAAGAAUCAUGCGCGCGCACUGAUUGAGAACUUGGUCUGGGUGAUGGGGGAGGCCAAAGAUUCUCCGGGUCCAUUCCAACAGGCACGAUGCUACAUGUACCAGAACCGCGACCAACUGCACGUGGACUACAAGCUCGACAUGGUGGUGCCAGUGCUGCCCAUCGCUCUGAUGGAGAUGAAGCCGCCACAGAUGGAGCAGUAG
rnacentral:rRNA from 1 species